CGCUGCGUGGCAGAGCGGGAAUGCACCAUGAUCUACCAUUGGACUUCGCUGGUUCGAUCCCAGCCGCAGCUA
rnacentral:tRNA from 1 species